rfam:Aedes aegypti strain Liverpool supercont1.41 genomic scaffold, whole genome shotgun sequence.
GGCUCGGUAGCUUAGUUGGUAAAGCGCUCGUCUAGCAUACAAGAGUCCUGGGUUCAAAUCCCAGCGGAGCAC